AGUUUGAUGGCGACCGGCGCACGGGUGAGUAACACGUAUCCAACCUGCCGAUGACUCGGGGAUAGCCUUUCGAAAGAAAGAUUAAUACCCGAUGGCAUAGUUCUUCCGCAUGGUAGAACUAUUAAAGAAUUUCGGUCAUCGAUGGGGAUGCGUUCCAUUAGGUUGUUGGCGGGGUAACGGCCCACCAAGCCUUCGAUGGAUAGGGGUUCUGAGAGGAAGGUCCCCCACAUUGGAACCGAGACACGGUCCAA
rnacentral:rRNA from 1 species